rnacentral:rRNA from 1 species
GCCGGCAGCUCUGCUCUCUGCAGGUCGCUGAAGCCAAGUAGGGCUGAGCCCAGUUAGUACCGGGAUGGGAGACCACAUGGGAAAGCUAGGUUGCUGCCGGAA